CGUGGUGGGAGACAGUGUCAGGCGGGCAGUUUGACUGGGGCGGUCGCCUCCUAAAAGGUAACGGAGGCGCUCAAAGGUUCCCUCAGAAUGGUUGGAAAUCAUUCAUAGAGUGUAAAGGCAUAAGGGAGCUUGACUGCGAGACCUACAAGUCGAGCAGGGUCGAAAGACGGACUUAGUGAUCCGGUGGUUCCGCAUGGAAGGGCCAUCGCUCAACGGAUAAAAGCUACCCCGGGGAUAACAGGCUUAUCUCCCCCAAGAGUUCACAUCGACGGGGAGGUUUGGCACCUCGAUGUCGGCUCAUCGCAUCCUGGGGCUGUAGUCGGUCCCAAGGGUUGGGCUGUUCGCCCAUUA
rnacentral:rRNA from 1 species